GUAAGUACAUAGCAUUUGUGCUUUGGAGAAUUGAUAGAGACAGUUGGUCCUGUUUCUCAGAAAGUUCAAAGUUUUAUUAUAGAGUAGUAAUGAUAUCCAUUCAAUCUUACACUUAUUUUGACGUUUUGAUGUUUCUGAUAAAAUCUUUUUUUUUUUCCAUGUCAGGAGCGACUUGAGAAAUUGAAAGUCUCUUUUGGUGUGAGAGAAUUGGCUGUCUGCAAGGACGUUGUUCAGGGGACGCCAGGAUGUUUUUGAUGUUUUUACCAAACUUGUGGGAGGCUUCUCUCAUGUACUCGCAUGGAGCUGGAGCUGAUAGAGGGAGCUCAUCCAUGCUCUCCCCAGGCUGGAUUCGAACCGGCAACCUUCAGGUUUAUCAAAUACUUGAGAAGAUCUGGAUCUUAUCGAAUGAUGACGAUGACGACGAUGAUGAUGAUGAUGUUUAUUUAUGCCCUGCUUUCUCUCUCUACAAAAGAGAAGAUCCAGUCCUUUGCAGG
rnacentral:lncRNA from 11 species